rnacentral:rRNA from 1 species
GACGAACGCUGGCGGCGUGCCUAAUACAUGCAAGUUGAGCGCUGAAGGUUGGUACUUGUACCAACUGGAUGAGCAGCGAACGGGUGAGUAACGCGUGGGGAAUCUGCCUUUGAGCGGGGGACAACAUUUGGAAACGAAUGCUAAUACCGCAUUAAAACUUUAAACACAAGUUUUAAGUUUGAAAGAUGCAAUUGCAUCACUCAAAGAUGAUCCCGCGUUGUAUUAGCUAGUUGGUGAGGUAAAGGCUCACCAAGGCGAUGAUACAUAGCCGACCUGAGAGGGUGAUCGGCCACAUUGGGACUGAGACACGGCCCAAGCUCCUACGGGAGGCAGCAGUAGGGAAUCUUCGGCAAUGGACGAAAGUCUGACCGAGCAACGCCGCGUGAGUGAAGAAGGUUUUCGGAUCGUAAAAAUCUGUUGGUAGAGAAGAACGUUGGUGGGAGUGGAAAGCUCAUCAAGUGACGGUAACUACCCAGAAAGGGACGGCUAACUACGUG